GGAAGUGCCUAGGGCACUGGUGGCUCUCCUGGACUUCAAAUCCAGUGGUCCCGGUUAACACCCGGGACGGUGGGUUCGAUUCCCAUGCACUUCCGCCA
rnacentral:tRNA from 2 species